GACGAACGCUGGCGGCGUGCUUAACACAUGCAAGUCGAACGGUGAAGGGACUGGUUUUGCUGGUCCUGGAUGAGUGGCGAACGGGUGAGUAACACGUGAGUAACCUGCCCCCUUCUUCUGGAUAACCGCAUGAAAGUGUGGCUAAUACGGGAUAUUCUGGGUCUGUCGCAUGGUGGGCCUGGGAAAGAUUGCGCCUUUUUUGGUGUUUUUGGUGGGGGAUGGGCUCGCGGCCUUUCAGCUUGUUGGUGGGGUGAUGGCCUAACAGGGAGGUGGCGGGUGGGCCGCCUGAGGGGGUUGACGGACACACUAGGAGUGAGACACGGCCCAGACUCCUACGGGAGGCCGCAGUGGGGAAUUUUGCACAAUGGGCGCAAGCCUGGUGGCGCGACGCCGCGUGAGGGAUGGAGGCCUUCGGGUUGUGAACCUCUUUCGCCAGAGAAGCAGGCCUGCCUCUUUUUGUGGGUGGGUUGACGGUAGCUGGAUAAGAAGCGCCGGCUAACUACGUG
rnacentral:rRNA from 1 species